GCUGUUUCCGGUGUGCUGGCCGCUGGGUUUGUUUUGUUUUGUUUUAGGUUAGGGAUCGGCGAGAUACAAGGAUGGACCCUAAAAGAUGAAGCAAAGAUAAGAAGUUCUAGUUGAUUAGCAGCUUUCCCUGAGGCCUUUGGGCGGAGACAAUGAGACCAGAGCUGGCAGUAGAAAGGAUGUGAAGAGCCACACCCAGCUACCGGAGUGCAGACACCUGGGAGCCAAAGUGAAAGGUACAGCAUUCAGCUCUGCUCCCAUGAAUAUGGCUGGCUUAGAGGAGAUUGAAAUUUUGUCCUUCUGUGUAGGCCUGGCUGUUUUCACUUCACACAAGUUUCCUUCCUUUGGUGUGUGGCAGGCCUUACGUCCUGCUCUGGCCACUCUGGAGCGCUUCACCUUCUCCAUCUUCAGCUGGUAACAGCCAGCCAUCAUUCUUGGCAUGCCAGCUUUCACGUGGAUGCACGUGUCCAUCACUCUCUGCUGAUGCUUUGUGUGAUCAGCUCAGCCUGCGCUCCUAAAUAUAGGUAGAUACCCAGUGACGUCAACAUGUAGUUUCCACAAUGUGUAAGGUUUUCGAGAGUGACCAGGGGAUGGAAAUAUUGGACUAAGGAAUGAACACUUCCAUUCCUGCCCAAGGCUUCUGUGGGAGCCAUGUGCCGCUGUACCUGCUGUGGGAGCCAUGUGUAGCUGUAUCUGCUGUGGGAGCCAUGUACUGCUUGUUGUACCUGCUGUGUUACCAGGUAUAGAAGAAGCAAGUGGGAGUGACCCAGGAAGACUUGUUUCAAGGCUACAGAAAGCCCAUGAAUCCAGGCACUGGCUAUGAUUGUUGGAUUCCCUGGAAGAAGACCCAGAGAAGCCAUUGCAUGGAGCUGGAAAGAUGAAGCCCAAGUUAUAGUGGAGGGACCAGGAUAUUGGAGAUUCUAGAAUUGUACUUAUCCACUGAGGAAAGCUGCAAGAACACAGUGGAACACGUCCAAGACAGAAGUCACAUGUUCUGGAGGUGGCAGAAGUGGAGUGCUGGCACUACUCAAAUCUAGACCUUAGAUGAUCCCAUCAGGAGUACUCCAUGCUAGCCAUGGAGCUAUAGGAUUAGGUGUUAGUUCUAACGGGGCUUUUGUUUUUGCUUUAAUCCAUCCUUUCCUCGCCGUUCUCCCAUUAUUUCCCAUUUAGGGUGGGGAUACUUCUUCUUUGUUUUGUAUAUUAGAAGUAUUCAACUUGUAUUUUGAUUUCAUAGGUGCUAAAAAUUAAAGAGAUGGUCUGAAGUCUCAGAGGAGACUUUAAUUUUUUGAACAGAGCUGUAACUGUUAAAGACUAUGAGAGCUUUUAGAGAGAGACCAAAUGCAUUCUGAGAUGUACAUAGACUGGGAACCAGGGUAGAAUACUAAGGUGAUAUGUUUGGUGUUGGGUUGGCAGGAAGUGGAAUUAUAAUGAUUAAUUUUUGUUGCCAAUUUAACAGGAUCUAGAAUCACCUAGGAGACAGCUCUGUGCUUGUAUGUAAGGGCAGAUCUAGAUAGAUUUACCUUAGAAGGGAAAUUUUCCCUUAAAUAAAUGUGGCAUCUAUGAACUGGGAUCCUAGACAGAAUAAAAAGGAGAACUGAGAGGAGCACCAGUAUUCAUCUUCAUUUCAUUCCUUCUGCCGUUUACCAAGUAUCAGGUGCGUGUUUUUCUGUUUGUCUGUUUAUGGGUUCUCCAUUCAUUUCUGGUUUGUGUCUUAUGCUACCCCAGUAGCAAGCCUUAAUAGCUUUUGUCUGUAUAAUAAACUUUAAUAUCUGAUAGAGAGAUUAUCCCUAGUUUAUUCAUUUAAGGUGUUUUGUCUAUUCUAAUUACUUUUCCUUAUUUGUUCUAGAGUAAGCUUGUGUUCAUCUAUGAGAAAUCUUAGCAAGAUUUUGAUAGUAACUAUUAUUAAACUACAUAUACAUAUAUAAUU